rnacentral:rRNA from 1 species
GCUAUUUAGGUUAGAGUUUGAUCCUGGCUCAGAUUGAACGCUGGCGGCAUGCCUUACACAUGCAAGUCGAACGGCAGCACGGGGGUAACCCUGGUGGCGAGUGGCGAACGGGUGAGUAAUACAUCGGAACGUGUCCUGGAGUGGGGGAUAGCCCGGCGAAAGCCGGAUUAAUACCGCAUACGCUCUAAGGAGGAAAGCGGGGGACCUUCGGGCCUCGCGCUCAAGGGGCGGCCGAUGGCGGAUUAGCUAGUUGGUAGGGUAAAGGCCUACCAAGGCGACGAUCCGUAGCUGGUCUGAGAGGACGACCAGCCACACUGGGACUGAGACACGGCCCAGACUCCUACGGGAGGCAGCAGUGGGGAAUUUUGGACAAUGGGGGCAACCCUGAUCCAGCAAUGCCGCGUGUGUGAAGAAGGCCUUCGGGUUGUAAAGCACUUUUGUCCGGAAAGAAAACCUAGGUUCUAAUAAAGCCGAGGGAUGACGGUACCGGAAGAAUAAGCACCGGCUAACUACGUGCCAGCAGCCGCGGUAAUCGCCC